UAAAAUAUAACAAAUUAUUUUGGACUUGGGUCUCCCUCAUUCCAAGCCCAUUACCCACGAAAUUAGUCUAUAAAUACUGAAGUUUCAGUAGGGGAGUUAGACUUGGAGUUUACACUGGGAGAUUCACUGGAGAAAGAAGGAAGAGAAGCAAAACACUCUGAGGUUUCCUUGGAACAAACCUUGAGGAAAAAGAAAGAGAGAGAACA
rnacentral:lncRNA from 1 species